rnacentral:tRNA from 1 species
UCCCUGGACGACUAGUGGUUAGGCCACUGCGCUCUCACCGCCACAGCCCAGGUUCAAGUCCCGGCCAGGGAA